AGCGAACGCUGGCGGCAGGCCUAACACAUGCAAGUCGAACGAACCUUUCGGGGUUAGUGGCGGACGGGUGAGUAACACGUGGGAACGUGCCUUUAGGUUCGGAAUAACUCAGGGAAACUUGUGCUAAUACCGAAUGUGCCCUUCGGGGGAAAGAUUUAUCGCCUUUAGAGCGGCCCGCGUCUGAUUAGCUAGUUGGUUGAGGUAAUGGCUCACCAAGGCGACGAUCAGUAGCUGGUCUGAGAGGUUGAUCAGCCACAUUGGGACUGAGACACGGCCCAAACUCCUACGGGAAGCAGCAGUGGGGAAUCUUGCGCAAUGGGCGAAAGCCUGACGCAGCCAUGCCGCGUGAAUGAUGAAGGUCUUAGGAUUGUAAAAUUCUUUCACCGGGGACGAUAAUGACGGUACCCGGAGAAGAAGCCCCGGCUAACUUCGUG
rnacentral:rRNA from 1 species